rnacentral:tRNA from 1 species
GGGCAGUUAGCUCAGUGGGAGAGCGCUACCUUGACACGGUAGAGGUCGCUAGUUCGAUCCUAGUACUGCCCACCA